GGAGGGGGGGAGGGGUUCUACCAUUUUUUCUUCCCGCAUCGGAGGAGUAAGCUGGUUCUGUCCCGAGAACAUCUCUACAAGGUAAUUGGUGUGGAGAAGAUUGACCUCAGCCUUGCUUUGAACAUUGUUCCAAAGGCUCUGUAGUAAAUGUUUAAGCGCAUAACAACCCUGCCCCUCCAAUCAAGAUUUCUCUCUCAGCUGGAUCUGCUAUCUGACAAACUUCUGAAGGUUUUUGAGAAUAGAGGAGGACAGAUAGGCCAGCGUCUGAACUGUAUUAUGUCAAACAUGACUCAAGUUGAUGAUGUCGAUUUAGGCCGGGAUUGUCUUCUCAAGGGGAUGUGUGUGCACCUCAAUCAGAGAGUUUGUGGCAGAAGAUGAAGACAUCAUUCUGCGGUCCAUUCAGGGGAUUACAGUGGGACUUUAUGUUGUCAAACACAAUUCCACCAUGAGACCAGAGGACAGAUUGUCCUGGAAGGCCAACAGGUAGUCUACUAACUGAUGUGGAAAACAUUGCAUUAGCUGCUACCAUGCUG